GGGCGAUUAGCUCAGUUGGUAGAGCGCCUCGUUUACACCGAGGAUGUCGGCGGUUCUGAGUCCGUCAUCGCCCACCA
rnacentral:tRNA from 1 species